UAGGUUUAGGCAACAAAACUACAACUUCUUUAAGUUUAUGGAAUAAAACUAUAACUUCUUUAGGUUUAUGCAAUAAAACUACAACUUCUUUAGGUUUAGGCAAAAAAACAGUUGGGUUUUGGCAAUAAAACUUCAACCUCUUUAUGUUUAGACAAAAAAAACAGUUAAGUUUAGGGA